CUAACACUGGGGCUGGCUAACAUGCCCUCAGGCCUUCCCACUUAGAGGCAGAUUCAAGUUUGAGAGCCGAGUCCGGAUCCUUCAGUUAACUGUGGCCAAAAGAAAGAGAAACAGCCCUUAUGCCAACCAGGAAGACCUCUGCCCUUUGUAAGCACCUCUCAGGUCCACAAGACAUUUCUACGAUUGCCUUUGCACCCAGGCAAACUGUCCCAUGCAUGGGCCCUGCUGAGAAGACAGAGGCACAGAGACUGUGUUUUGUACGACUCGACUCAACCACCCACAGUUGGUUGGAUAAGGGCUGGGCAUUGACCCCAAAGCAGCUAAGUUUGUAGGUUGGCCAGUGGCCUAUGACCUGACACAAAAGAGUAUCUUCCAACCAGACUCCCCUUCUCUGGACUCUCAACUGGAAGCAGAGAGAAUCUGACACUGGAAAUGGCAGGUGGGGAGCCAGAGACUGAUUUUUGCACAAAUGGGAUAGAGCCUCGGACUCUGUGUUUUAAAAAUUCUGUAGGUAUAUAGACACAGGAGUGGAGUUGCUGAAUCAUAAGGUUCAGGCCGGCGCCAGUUCUCAAGGAAUUCCCUCCACCAGGUCUGCACAGGGCAGGCGAUGAGAAGUAGACACUGUACCUUCAGGGAGCUCUCAGUUUGGAAAGGAAGGAAACUCACCAGCCAGAAACCUGGGAGCCACCUGACACCCGCCUCCCUCACCGCCCUCGGCUGUCACUGUGUUGCAUGAGCUUUCCCUCCUCAUGGCCUCUCCAUCUGUCCACUGUCUUCCUCCACUCCGGUCCUCGCUGUCAUCAUCUGGAACCGCUAAGCACUGCUAGCCCCCAGCGCAGAGGGGCUGCCCGAUUGCGUGGCCGAGGAGAUGAGCGUGCACAUGGUGCUGUGAGGGGACCUCUGUCCAGAGAGGGUC